AUGUUGUCCUCUGUGUAUAACCAGUUAUUAGGUCUAUAAUGAUGUGUUUUGCUCUGUGUAUAACCAGAGUUAUUAGGUCUGUAAUGAUGUGUUUUGCUCUGUGUAUAACCAGUUAUUAGGUCUAUAAUGUUGUCCUCUGUGUAUAACCAGUUAUUAGGUCUAUAAUGAUGUGUUUUGCUCUGUGUAUAACCAGAGUUAUUAGGUCUAUAAUGUUGUCCUCUGUGUAUAACCAGAGUUAUUAGGUCUAUAAUGUUGUCCUCUGUGUAUAACCAGAGUUAUUAGGUCUGUAAUGUUGUCCUCUGUGUAUAACCAGAGUUAUUAGGUCUAUAAUGUUGUCCUCUGUGUAUAACCAGAGUUAUUAGGUCUAUAAUGAUGUGUUUUGCUCUGUGUAUAACCAGAGUUAUUAGGUCUAUAAUGUUGUCCUCUGUGUAUAACCAGAGUUAUUAGGUCUAUAAUGUUAUGUUUUGCUCUGUGUAUAACCAGUUAUUAGGUCUAUAAUGAUGUGUUUUGCUCUGUGUAUAACCAGAGUUAUUAGGUCUAUAAUGUUGUCCUCUGUGUAUAACCAGAGUUAUUAGGUCUAUAAUGUUGUCCUCUGUGUAUAACCAGAGUUAUUAGGUCUGUAAUGUUGUCCUCUGUGUAUAACCAGAGUUAUUAGGUCUGUAAUGAUGUGUUGUCCUCUGUGUAUAACCAGAGUUAUUAGGUCUAUAAUGUUGUCCUCUGUGUAUAACCAGAGUUAUUAGGUCUGUAAUGAUGUGUUUUGCUCUGUGUAUAACCAGAGUUAUUAGGUCUAUAAUGUUGUGUUUUGCUCUGUGUAUAACCAGUUAUUAGGUCUAUAAUGUUAUGUUUUGCUCUGUGUAUAACCAGAGUUAUUA